UACGGAGGGAGCUAGCGUUGUUCGGAAUUACUGGGCGUAAAGCGCACGUAGGCGGCUUUGUAAGUUAGAGGUGAAAGCCUGGAGCUCAACUCCAGAAUUGCCUUUAAGACUGCAUCGCUCGAAUCCAGGAGAGGUGAGUGGAAUUCCGAGUGUAGAGGUGAAAUUCGUAGAUAUUCGGAAGAACACCAGUGGCGAAGGCGGCUCACUGGACUGGUAUUGACGCUGAGGUGCGAAAGCGUGGGGAGCAAACAGGG
rnacentral:rRNA from 1 species